rnacentral:rRNA from 1 species
UACGUAGGGUGCAAGCGUUUGUCCGGAAUUAUUGGGCGUAAAGAGCUCGUAGGCGGUUUGUCGCGUCGGCUGUGAAAUCCCGGAGCUCAACUCCGGGUCUGCAGUCGAUACGGGCAACUGGAGUGACUGCAGGGGAGACUGGAAUUCCUGGUGUAGCGGUGAAAUGCGCAGAUAUCAGGAGGAACACCGGUGGCGAAGGCGGGUCUCUGGGCAGUAACUGACGCUGAGGAGCGAAAGCGGUGGGGAGCGAACAGGG